rnacentral:rRNA from 1 species
UAGGGAAUCUUCGGCAAUGGACGAAAGUCUGACCGAGCAACGCCGCGUGAGUGAAGAAGGUUUUCGGAUCGUAAAACUCUGUUGUUAGAGAAGAACAAGGACGUUAGUAACUGAACGUCCCCUGACGGUAUCUAACCAGAAAGCCACGGCUAACUACGUGCCAGCAGCCGCGGUAAUACGUAGGUGGCAAGCGUUGUCCGGCUUUAUUGGGCGUAAAGCGAGCGCAGGCGGUUUCUUAAGUCUGAUGUGAAAGCCCCCGGCUCAACCGGGGAGGGUUAUUGGAAACUGGGAGACUUGAGUGCAGAAGAGGAGAGUGGAAUUCCAUGUGUAGCGGUGAAAUGCGUAGAUAUAUGGAGGAACACCAGUGGCGAAGGCGGCUCUCUGGUCUGUAACUGACGCUGAGGAUCGAAAGCGUGGGGAGCAAACAGG